rnacentral:rRNA from 1 species
CCUACGGUAUGCAGCAGUGGGGAAUAUUGGACAAUGGGCGAAAGCCUGAUCCAGCCAUGCCGCGUGUGUGAAGAAGGCCUUCGGGUUGUAAAGCACUUUCAGUGGGGAAGAAAGCCUUGGGGCUAAUACCCUCGAGGAAGGACAUCACCCACAGAAGAAGCACCGGCUAACUCCGUGCCAGCAGCCGCGGUAAUACGGAGGGUGCGAGCGUUAAUCGGAAUUACUGGGCGUAAAGCGCGCGUAGGCGGUCUGAUAAGCCGGUUGUGAAAGCCCCGGGCUCAACCUGGGAACGGCAUCCGGAACUGUCAGGCUAGAGUGCAGGAGAGGAAGGUGGAAUUCCCGGUGUAGCGGUGAAAUGCGUAGAGAUCGGGAGGAAUACCAGUGGCGAAGGCGGCCUUCUGGACUGACACUGACGCUGAGGUGCGAAAGCGUGGGUAGCAAACAGGAUUAGAUACCCUGGUAGUC